rnacentral:lncRNA from 1 species
UAAUGUAAAAGAUAAUCUGAGUUUAGAUAAGAAUAGAGAAGAGAUUAGAGUAGAUUUAAGAGAUUAAGAGACUAAUGGAGAAUCAUUGUGAAAAGUAUAGAGAGAUUGAUUUGUUUAGAACUGUCUGAUCUUUUAUUAAUGAGAGAGGUUACAAUAUAUAGUCUUCAGAUCCUAGGGCUUCAUAAGGAUAAAGUAGAACAAGCAUGUGUAGUCAAAGGAGGAGAGGCGCGCCUAAUUCAAACUAAGCCAAUAAGGAGCUUCACAUGUGUGACCGGAUGGAUAAGGUUUGCUUUCCCUUUACAGCUCUCAUCCAGCCUGUCAAGCCGUGUCCCUUAUCCUAUCUUCAACGGUCUGCUCAGUUACUACCAAAGGUUAACUCCUUCUAAGUUACCUUUCACCUCAAGGCAGAGUAACUUCUCAUUUGGCUGC